GGACUAUUUAAUAAUAAGGAAAAUAAGUGCAUUUGAAGCCAAUCUCUCUUAAUUCAGAGCUCAUUUCCAUAGUGACCCAUCUGGAGCAGGAGUGCCUGACAUUGGCAUCUGGGAUCCUGACACCAUUGACAGAAUUCUUAAGCAAAAUAUUAGUGUCUUUACUCAAGACAUGUGUGGACGAGAUGCAGAAGAUUACGCUAUUUCUCGCCGUUUGACAAAAAUUCAACAACAAAUUUUGGAACAUAAAAAGAAGAUACUUAAAAAGGACAAACCAGCAACUCAUGGCAACCAUUGAUCUUUACUCUGUCUUCAUAGUUUUACUUUUUUCAGAAGAGUCAUAUAGUUGGAAUAAUACAGUGGAUAUCUUUUUGAAUGGUUAAAAAAUUAAAGCUCCAUGGCAGUUGAAUGGCCUCCUGCAAAACAUCCUUCCUUGAAGCCUAGCACUGAAACGGAAGAUCCUGCUGUGAAAGGAGCAGUAUAAAGAAACAAUGUACAGACAUUGAGAGCAGAACAAGCCUUACCAGUGGCUUCAGAGGAAGAGCAAGAAAGGCUUGAAAGAAGUGAAAAGAAGCAACCACAGCUAAUUUUAAAACAUGCAAUCUGACAGAAAAGACAUCUGAGAAACAAAAUAAGCAAACUUGUUUUCCAUUUUGCACCUGCCAAAAAAAAAAAAAAAAAAGUCUCAAGAACCAGAACUGG
rnacentral:sRNA from 1 species